rnacentral:rRNA from 18 species
GAGGGUAGUACGAUAGGAACUGCUCAUUCAGUUAAUUGGUAUUUGCGCCUGUCCGAUCGGGCAAUGGCGCGAAGCUAUCAACUGCUAGAUUAUGGCUGAACGCCUCUAAGUCAGAAUCUGUACUGGAAACGGUGAUGUUGGUCCCGCACAUGUUAGAUGUGUUUAAAUAGAGCUUCGGC